UACGGGGGGAGCAAGCGUUGUUCGGAAUCACUGGGCGUAAAGGGAGUCUAGGCGGUUUGGUAAGUGGGAUGUGAAAUCCCCGGGCUCACCCCGGGACCUGCAUCCCAAACUGCUGAGCUUGAGUACAGGAGAGGGUGGGGGAAUUCCAGGUGUAGCGGUGAAAUGCGCAGAUAUCAGGAGGAACACCAAUUGCGAAGGCAGCUCGCUGGGACGUUACUGACGCUGAGACGCGAAAGCGUGGGGAGCAAACAGG
rnacentral:rRNA from 1 species